GUGGGGAAUCUUCCGCAAUGGACGAAAGUCUGACGGAGCAACGCCGCGUGAGUGAUGAAGGUCUUCGGAUUGUAAAGCUCUGUUAAUCGGGACGAAAGAGCCUAGUGUGAAUAAUGCUAGGAAGUGACGGUACCGGAAUAGAAAGCCACGGCUAACUACGUGCCAGCAGCCGCGGUAAUACGUAGGUGGCAAGCGUUGUCCGGAAUUAUUGGGCGUAAAGCGCGCGCAGGCGGAUCUGCCAGUCUGUCUUAAAAGUUCGGGGCUUAACCCCGUGAUGGGAUGGAAACUAAAGAACUAGAGUAACGGAGAGGAAAGUGGAAUUCCUAGUGUAGCGGUGAAAUGCGUAGAUAUUAGGAAGAACACCAGUGGCGAAGGCGACUUUCUGGACGAAAACUGACGCUGAGGCGCGAAAGCCAGGGGAGCGAACGGGAUUAGAUACCCCAGUAGUCC
rnacentral:rRNA from 1 species